rnacentral:rRNA from 1 species
UAAAGGUUCUCAAUAGUAACCUAGACAAAAAAAAGAAAGAUGGACGGAAUAUCCGAUAAAAACAUGGAGGCAAGUCCGAAGAUGUGUUUAAGUCCAAAGGAAAACCGGAAAAUAAAAAACUUAGAGAAUUGAAACAUCUUAGUAUCUAAGGAAAAAAAUCAACCGAGUUUUUGCGAGUAGUGGCGAAUGAAAGCAAAAAAAAAGGCUAAAAGGUUUAAAAGAAGAAUCGAAAAUUCCAGAAAGGAUUGCCAGAGCGUGUGAAAGCCCCGUAGAGUACUUCUUAAACUUAAAUCAGUAGGGCGGUUAAAAAUCUGUCUGAAGAUAGGGGGACCACCCUCUAAGCCUUAAAUAAUUUUUUUUGAUCGAUAGCGAACAAGUACCGUGAGGGAAAGGUGAAAUAAUCCCUUAUAAAGGGUUUGAAAUAGCAUAAAAUUGAGAAUUAACAAGCAGUAGAUUGAUUAUCUAGUUAAGAAAUCUACGUACUUCUUGCAUAACGGAUCAGCGAGUUAGUUUCUAAAGCAGGCUUAAACAGUAAUGUGAAGGUAAAAAGAAAAUAAAAAGGUUUUAGGAAAAAGACCCGAACCUAAGUGAUCUAAGUAUGAGCAGGUUGAAACUCCACGAAAGUGUAGUGAAGGACCGAACCCACGGCUGUUGCAAUAUCCGGGGAAGACUUGUGCUUAGGGGUGAAAGGCCAAACAAACUUAGAUCUAGCUGGUUUUCCCCGAAAUCUAUUGAGGUAGAGCACUUUUUAAUUAUAUCUUAUGGGGUAGAGCACUUCAUGGGUGUGGGGGGCGUAAAGCUUUACCAUUUCCAAGAAAACUCCGAAUACGUAGAGAUAGAAAAAGAAGACAGGCUCUGGGCGCAAAGGUGCAGAGCCAAAAGGGAAAAAGCCCAGACUAAUAGCUAAGGUCUUAAAUCUCUUUCUUAGUGGGAAAGGAGCAAUACGAGCGAAAUCAACUUCUAGGUGGGCUUAGAGGCAGCCAUCCCGCAAAGGAAAGCGUAACAGCUCAUUGAUUCAGCCGUGAUUGACCAAAAAUGUAACGAGUCUCAAGAAAGAAACCGAAGCUAUAGACUUUUUAAUCCUUCAAUGGAUUAUUAUGUGGUAGGGGAACGUUGUGUGUGUCAGUGACUUUAAUUCAUAAGAAUUUUAAGGAGACCUCACAAGUGACUAUGCUGAUAUGAGUAACGUAAAAUCAUGUGAAAUACAUGAUCACCGAAACUUCCAGGUUUUCUACGCAUUGUGAAUCAGCGUAGAGUUAUACGGCCCCUAAGAUGAUUUAUAAGACCCGAAAGGGUAUGUCGAUGGGAAAUUAUUUUGAAAGAUUCACGAGAGAUUUCUUCUUUCUUCGUUGGAGAUAAAUUAAGAGGAAAAUCAAGUGAACUGGAAAACUCAAAAUAUUAUAUACCGUACUCGAAACCGCCACUGGUGAAGGAGUAGGAAUCUACAAAGGUGAUCGAAAGAACCAUUUCUAAGGAACUCGGCAAAAUGACCCCGUAACUUAGGAAGAAGGGGGACCUUUUGUACUUUUUAAGUAUGAAAGGUGGCACGAAAUCGGGGGUAGCAACUGUUUACCAAAAACACAAGACUUUGCUAAGUUGUAAAACGCUGUAUAAGGUCUGACACCUGCCCGGUGCUGCAAGCUAAAAGGGAAGGGUGAAAUCCAUAUGGAUGGAGCUCCGAACUGAUUGUUCAGUAAACGGCGGUCGUAACUCUAACGAUCCUAAGGUAGCGAAAUUCCUUGUCCACUAAUUAUGGACCUGCAUGAAUGGUGUAAUGACUGCCCCGCUGUCUCAGAAAUGGAUUCGGUGAAAUUGAAUUCUCCGUGAAGAUGCGGAGUAUUAGUGCCUAGACGGGAAGACCCUGUGCUUCUUUACUAUAACCUUUCAUUGAAACUUGGCUUCUCUUGUGUAGAAUAAGUGGGAGUUUCCUUUAAUUAGGGGACAUCAGUGAAAUACCACUCUGGAUUAACUGAGAAUCUUACCUUUUUAAGAAAAAGGGACAUUGGAUGGUGGGUAGUUUGACUGGGGUGGUCGCCUCCCAAAGUGUAACGGAGGUGUACGAAGGUAGGUUUGAUUGGAUUGGAAACCCUUUCUAAAGUGUAACGAUAUAAACUUGCUUGACUGUGAGAUAGACAUAUCUAGCAGGGACGAAAGUCGGUCGUAGUGAUCCGGGAGUUCUUUGUGGAAAGGCUCUCGCUCAACGAAUCAAAGAAACGCCAGGGAUAACAGGCUAAUACCUCCCAAGAGUUCUUAUCGACGGAGUUGUUUGGCACCUCGAUGUUGAUUCAUUGCGUCCUGGAGGUGAAGAAGCUUCCAAGGGUUGGGCUGUUCGCCCAUUAAAGCAGUACGUGAGUUGAGUUCAGAACGUCGUGAGACAGUUCGGUUCCUAUCUAGCAUUAAUAGUGAAAAAUUAUAAGGUUUUGUCUCUAGUACGAGAGGAUCGAGACUAAAGAGACCUCUGGUUUACCGGUUGUAUUGCCAAAUGCAUCGCCGGCUCGCUACGUCUCUCAGAAUAACUGCUGAAAGCAUCUAAGCGGGAAGUCUUCCUUUAGACUUAUUUUUAACAUCGUAGAAGACUACUACGUUGAUAGGCAAGAACCCAUUCUUUAGUAAUAAAGAAUCUUUUUUGUACUAA